UACAGAGGGUGCGAGCGUUGUCCGGAAUCACUGGGCGUAAAGGGCGCGUAGGCGGGAUGGCAAGUCGGUCGUGAAAUCCCUCGGCUCAACUGAGGAGCGUCGAUCGAAACUGCCGUUCUUGAGGGUUGCAGAGGAGACUGGAAUUCCCGGUGUAGCGGUGAAAUGUGUAGAGAUCGGGAGGAACACCGGUGGCGAAGGCGGGUCUCUGGGCAACUCCUGACGCUGAGGCGCGAAAGCGUGGGGAGCAAACGGG
rnacentral:rRNA from 1 species